rnacentral:misc_RNA from 1 species
UUUUUAGUUUUGUUUUUGUUACAUUCUUUAACUAGUGUUUAAAAUGAAGCCGCUCGAACAUUCAUAUUUGGGUAAACCCUCAUAAUCCCGCUCGAGCCAUAUAGUGCACAGUGUUGGAGAGUGGAGGUCAGGCCUCUAUAAAAUAGAGCACCCUAAAAUUCACUAAUGAUCCUUCCGCAGGUUCACCUACGGAAA